GCUUACGGCCACACCGCCUGGUUCCACGCACGAUCUCGUUUGAUCUCGGAAGAUGAGAUAGGGUGGGCCUGGUUAGUACUUGGAUGGGAGACCGCCUGGGAAUACCAGGUGCUGUAAGCU
ensembl:rRNA 5S_rRNA 5S ribosomal RNA